ensembl:lncRNA
GCUUUUGUUCUUUUUAUAUAUUUUGAACACAGAGAUUACAAAUAAAGUGGAAAUGGGUUACACUAAUCUAAAAGACAUAACCAUGUGAAAACAAACAUCAAACAUUUUUAAUACAGGUGCUGCUAAUGAGCAGACGCUCGAUGAGGAUGAAAAUCAGCAGGAAGUGUACUCCUCUCUUCUUCAUGGUGAUCGUUGUGUCUAUGAGGCAGUCAGAAGAUGUGAAAACACUGAAAAUGGUCCAGCAGAAGGUGAUUACACCAAUGUCACAUCUGUGAUUCAGCUCGAAGUCAUUAACAAGACAAGGCAAAGUGGUGACCCAGAGGAGAGCUCUGACUACAAUGAUGUCAAUCCAAAUUCAGCCACAGCUCUAAAAUCUUAACAGCAGCUCUUUAGCUGUUUUUCUCCGUUUUGCUUUUGUUUUCUCUCCCAUUAGAUAAUAAUUUUAAUGGACUUUAAUGUACUGUAGAUCAGUUUUUAAAAAAAAUCUUUUUAACAAUUCUCUUAAAGUCUCUUAAAAAAAAAAGGAAAAGAUUUUGAGUUCAAAGCAAUGAUCCUGAUAGUCUGAGUUUAUAUUUCCUUCAGAAAGAAUCACUCAGUGUGUUUCGCUUGAUUCUCUCUCAUUAGAUAAAAAAAAAUUUAAUAGACUUUAAAUUACUG